CCCGCGGCCUGGCGUGCGGCGCGUCCACCUCCAGCAGGUGCACCGGAGUGCGGUGGCGCAGGUCGCCGUCCGGGCCGGCGCCGCGGGU
rnacentral:tRNA from 1 species